UACGUAGGGGCAAGCGUUGUCCGGAUUUAUUGGGCGUAAAGAGCGUGUAGGCGGCCAUACAGGUCAGCUGUGAAAACUCGAGGCUCAACCUCGAGACGUCGGUUGAAACCGUAUGGCUAGAGUCCGGAAGAGGAGAGUGGAAUUCCCGGUGUAGCGGUGAAAUGCGCAGAUAUCGGGAAGAACACCCGUGGCGAAGGCGGCUCUCUGGGACGGUACUGGACGCUGAGACGCGAAAGCGUGGGGAGCGAACGAGG
rnacentral:rRNA from 1 species